rnacentral:rRNA from 1 species
AGAGUUUGAUCCUGGCUCAGGAUAAACGCUGGCGGCGCACAUAAGACAUGCAAGUCGAACGGAAGUCGUUGUAAUGAAAUAGAAACGGACAGAGAACUUGUUCGAAGAAAGUGGAAGUAGACUUACAACAAUGGCUUUAGUGGCGGACUGGUGAGUAACGCGUAAGGAACCUGCCUUCUAGAGGGGAAUAACAAUGAGAAAUCAUUGCUAAUACCGCAUAUGCCGAGAGAAUCACAUGGUACAAUCGGGAAAAGAGUAAUCUGCUAGAAGAUGGCCUUGCGUCUGAUUAGAUAGUUGGUGGGGUAACGGCCUACCAAGUCGACGAUCAGUAGCCGGACUGAGAGGUUGAACGGCCACAUUGGGACUGAGAUACGGCCCAGACUCCUACGGGAGGCAGCAGUCGGGAAUAUUGCGCAAUGGAGGAAACUCUGACGCAGUGACGCCGCGUAUAGGAAGAAGGUUUUCGGAUUGUAAACUAUUGUCGUUAGGGAAGAGAAAGGACAGUACCUAAGGAGGAAGCUCCGGCUAACUACGUGCCAGCAGCCGCGGUAAUACGUAGGGAGCGAGCGUUAUCCGGAAUUAUUGGGUGUAAAGGGUGCGUAGACGGGAAGAUAAGUUAGUUGUGAAAUCCCUCGGCUUAACUGAGGAACUGCAACUAAAACUGUUUUUCUUGAGUGCAGGAGAGGUAAGUGGAAUUCCUAGUGUAGCGGUGAAAUGCGUAGAUAUUAGGAGGAACACCAGUGGCGAAGGCGACUUACUGGACUGUGACUGACGUUGAGGCACGAAAGUGUGGGGAGCAAACAGGAUUAGAUACCCUGGUAGUCCACACCGUAAACGAUGGAUACUAGGUGUAGGAGAUAUUAAGUCUUCUGUGCCGUCGCAAACGCAGUAAGUAUCCCACCUGGGGAGUACGGCCGCAAGGUUGAAACUCAAAGGAAUUGACGGGGGCCCGCACAAGCAGUGGAGUAUGUGGUUUAAUUCGAAGCAACGCGAAGAACCUUACCAGGGCUUGACAUCCUACUAACGAAGCAGAGAUGCAUUAGGUGCCCUUCGGGGAAAGUAGAGACAGGUGGUGCAUGGUUGUCGUCAGCUCGUGUCGUGAGAUGUUGGGUUAAGUC